GAUGAACGCUGGCGGCGUGCUUAACACAUGCAAGUCGAACGGAAAGGCCUGCUUUCCCUUGUGGAUUGCGGGUACUCGAGUGGCGAACGGGUGAGUAACACGUGAGUGAUCUGCCCCCAACUUGGGUAUAAGCCUGGGAAACUGGGUCUAAUUCCCGAUAGGACUGCAGGGUGGUGCCUGUGGUGGAAAACGAUUUUCUAGUGGUUGGGGAUGAGCUCGCGGCCUAUCAGCUUGUUGGUGGGGUAAUGGCCUACCAAGGCGGCGACGGGUAGCCGGCCUGAGAGGGUGGACGGCCACAUUGGGACUGAGAUACGGCCCAGACUCCUACGGGAGGCAGCAGUGGGGAAUAUUGCACAAUGGGCGGAAGCCUGAUGCAGCGACGCCGCGUGGGGGAUGCCGGCCUUCGGGUUGUAAACUCCUUUCGACCUCGAGGAAGCCACCUGGUUGGAAGGGUGGUGACGGUAGUGGUAGAAGAAGCACCGGCUAACUACGUG
rnacentral:rRNA from 1 species